CCAUUUUUAUUAAACCCAAAACAGUGGAAAAUAUCAUGGAAAUGAAUAAACGCUUAACAGAAGAGCAAGCCAGGAAGACAUUU